AUUUUGUUGGGCAUGGAAAAUCUCUAAUGUCUAUCGUUCGCAACUUUUUAGCAGACGUCGAAAAGCAAGAAGAAAUCAAAUUUUUACAGAUGCAAUAAGGUGGGGCACGCCCCUGAAGAGUGCCCUACCAAACCGCGUCGAGGAAGCAGGGUAGCCGGAGAGGCCCCGGCGGACGGCGUAGUCGGCGUAGCCCAAUGGCGUGGCUGCGGAGGAUGGCGUGGCCAAAUAGUCAUAAAUAUAUUUACAAGGGAGUCAAGACGUUAUCCAUAAGAAAAAGUUUAAAACAAUCUCUAAAAAAAAUAAAAAUAUUCUGAAAAACAUCUUUCCUGUGUCCAAUCAUUAUUACAAACAACUAUUCAUUAUCAAACAAUAAAAUUCGCCCUGAUGGGGGGCAAAUUUAGGUCCCUGUUGUAUUGCGACCUUGUUUCGUGAAGCACUAAAAAAGUAUACACGAAGACAUAAUCAUUUUGCCAUCUGCUAUCCUGUUUUUGUUUGGCUU